GGCCGACCCUGUGGCUCUCAGACUUCUGGUUCAUGUUGCAUUGUGACCUCCUGGUUGGUGUUGGGUGCAACUGCUUUGAAAUGUCUCCAUCACACACACCUGGAGGAGAGAAAGCCCAGGAAGCUUUGAACUCUGCCUCUGCAACUCCUUCUGGAUCGUGGGGAGCAAAGCAAGUACAAUUCUGAUUGUGCCAUUUACCCUACACAGAACGUGGAGCUUCUUAGCCUCAACCAUGCACAUUGAGGACAACAGACUCAACACGAAGCAUGGCCCUGCUCGGUGUGUAACCGGCCUUUCCGGAGAGAAACACCACGGUCACCAGAGACCUCGCCAGACGCCAUGCUAGAGACAGCAGAAACCCCUCCCAUUUGUGUUUCAUCGGAGAAACUAAGACCCAACAAAUGCAGUCUGCCUGUACCACGGGGGCUGGACCCUGUGAGCGUCUGUCCUUGGCCGGCUUUGGGAAUGCUACCCUUCCAGCAAGUUCCUUCGGAGCCUCUGGCUGCUUUUCCCUCCAGCCUGGUGUCUCUGAAGGAGCCAGGAUCCCACCCACGUUCCCUCGUGUCCCUUCUCCCACUGCCACGACUGGUCCCACCCUUGCUUCUGCCCCUUCCAGAUCCCCUCGGGUCCUCAUUCAGCCGUUCCAUCUUUCUACCAAUAUUUCUUUAAAUUAAAUCUUCCCAUUC